GACGAACGCUGGCGGCGUGCUUAACACAUGCAAGUCGAACGGAAAGGCCCUGCUUUUGUGGGGUUCUCGAGUGGCGAACGGGUGAGUAACACGUGAGUAACCUGCCCUUGUCUUUGGGAUAACUUCAGGAAACUGGGGCUAAUACCGGAUAGGAGCUCCUGCUGCAUGGUGGGGGUUGGAAAGUUUCGGCGGUUGGGGAUGGACUCGCGGCUUAUCAGCUUGUUGGUGGGGUAGUGGCUUACCAAGGCUUUGACGGGUAGCCGGCCUGAGAGGGUGACCGGCGACAAUGCGACUGCGAGACGGAGCAGAAUCCUACGGGAGGCAGCAGUGGGAAAUAUUACACAAUGAGCGGGAGCCUGAUGCAGCAACGCUGCGUGCGUGAUGACGGCCUUCUGGUUGUGAACAGCUUUCGACUGUGACGAAGCGUGAGUGACGGUAAUGAGUAAAGAAGCACCGGCUAACUACGUG
rnacentral:rRNA from 1 species